CUCCUGCAGGGUCUGGGGCUCUGGGGGCAACUGCAACCCUGCCCUGCCCUGCCUGGGGUCACCUUUUGCCCCAGAGGCUCUGCAGGGGCCAGAGCACUCUGAGAACUCCUGAAUUAACUGCCCUGGAAGGCUUUUGGAAGGAAGCAAGUGCUGCCUCAGCCAGGGGGCCCAGCAGGACCAGCCCUGUCCAGCAGGACGUCUGUCUGUCUGUCCCUGUGGGGACACCCAGCCCCACACGUGGGGACCUCAUCCUCUUCUGCUCUGGCGAGGCUCCUGCCAUGUGCUGGACUGCACCUCAGUAAAUCAACAGCAAGGGGCUGUGAGAAAUGUCCCAGUACAGAAAUGGGGAAGACAGAAGGAAGCUUCCAGUGUGACCUCCAUCCCUUGCUGGCAAUGCUGCUAAAGAGCCCAAACCUCCCUGGGCAAUGUUAUGGGUCAGAACCAGCUCCAGCACGGAUCAGAACCAGCUCCAGCAUGGUGGUGACCAAGGAACCACCCCAGUGUGGCAGCUCAGCAGUGACCAAGCAAGCCCUGGUUUGUCAUUUCAGCAGUGACCAAGGAACCCCUGGUGUGGCAGCUCAACAGUGACCAAGGAGCCCCAGGCUGGCAGAGAGACAUCCAUCACACAGGGACAAUGCUGCACCUCAUUCACUGCAGCAAAUGGCACCAAUUAAAAACAACUCCAUAAAAAUUAUACCGAAUCUUCAAUUACUUGGGGAGAUGAGGAGCAGGACAUUCUGUAAUUGACUUGUUCAUCUUCUCGUCCUCUGAGCACAGCCCUG